GGCAACCCGUUUGGGGCUCUUUCUAUGUUGUAGAAUGUUAGUUCUUUCACUAUUUGCAAUUUUUUGUGGUGGGUCUUGUUAUUGUUCGCGCUGGAUCCACACUGCCUUUAAGAGCUGUAACACACCGUAAAGGUCUGCAGCUUCACUCUUGAGCCGCCGAGACCACGAACCCACCAGAAGGAAUUUCGGACACACCGCUUUUAAGAACUGUAACACUCACCGCGAGGGUUCAGGCUUCAUUCUUGAAAAAAGACAAUGAGAGAGCAGCCAGAGGGGUGGAAAGGGGAGCACGUGACCCUGCAAGAGGCAGGGAGAGAGAGAACACUGCGUCCGCUCCCUUUUAGAGCAGCUCAAUAUAGAGAAUCCCUAACGAGGACUUCCAGGAUAUCUUAGGGACAGCAGAGCCUCAAGAUCCAGGGAGGAUCCUGGAUACCUGAGGAGUCACCACUUGGAGGAGAAUCUCCUGGAAGAACUGAUUGAUCAGCAACAUCUACAUUCAACUUGAGGGUCUUCUUGCUUGGUGAGCCUUGGUGGUUGGCCAUCAGCUCUGGCACUGUGGGACCCA
rnacentral:lncRNA from 1 species